UACGUAGGGUGCAAGCGUUGUCCGGAAUUAUUGGGCGUAAAGAGCUCGUAGGCGGUUUGUCGCGUCGACUGUGAAAACCUACAGCUUAACUGUGGGCUUGCAGUCGAUACGGGCAGACUUGAGUUCGGUAGGGGAGACUGGAAUUCCUGGUGUAGCGGUGAAAUGCGCAGAUAUCAGGAGGAACACCGGUGGCGAAGGCGGGUCUCUGGGCCGAUACUGACGCUGAGGAGCGAAAGCGUGGGGAGCGAACAGG
rnacentral:rRNA from 1 species